rnacentral:rRNA from 1 species
GUAGUCCACACCGUAAACGUUGGGCGCUAGGUGUGGGAUCCAUUCCACGGGUUCCGUGCCGCAGCUAACGCAUUAAGCGCCCCGCCUGGGGAGUACGGCCGCAAGGCUAAAACUCAAAGGAAUUGACGGGGCCCGCACAAGCGGCGGAGCAUGCGGAUUAAUUCGAUGCAACGCGAAGAACCUUACCUGGGUUUGACAUACGCCGGAAAGCUCUAGAGAUAGAGCCCCUUUUAGUCGGUGUACAGGUGGUGCAUGGCUGUCGUCAGCUCGUGUCGUGAGAUGUUGGGUUAAG